GCUGGCGGCCAUAGCGCCGUGGAACCACCUGAUCCCAUGCCGAACUCAGAAGUGAAACGCGGUAGCGCCGAUGGUAGUGUGGCAUUCGCCAUGCGAGAGUAGGACACUGCCAGGC
rnacentral:rRNA from 1 species